rnacentral:rRNA from 1 species
UACGUAGGGUGCAAGCGUUAAUCGGAAUUACUGGGCGUAAAGCGUGCGUAGACGGUUUCGUAAGUCGGGUGUGAAAGCCCCGGGCUCAACCUGGGAAUUGCAUUCGAGACUGAAUAGCUAGGGUACGGUAGAGGGAAGCGGAAUUUCCGGUGUAGCGGUGAAAUGCGUAGAUAUCGGAAGGAACAUCAGUGGCGAAAGCGACUUCCUGGACCAGUACCGACGUUCAGGCACGAAAGCGUGGGGAGCAAACAGGA